GACCGCCACGGUGACUUGCAAGCAACUCACUGCACUUAGGCACUGGACUACCUGAAUUUUUAAUUCAGUGAUGGAAGGCUGCUGGGUGUAGUCAAGUACUCGACUUGUCGGUGUAUGUGUCAAGAUGAGAUUGACCACUCCAGUUUAGGAGCUGUGUACAGUCAUAUUUCAAUUUAGCAAAACCUUGGCCAGGGUAGUCCUUGUGAGGAGUCACAGGACUGUUUGAGUUGAGCACGAUUCAGAUGAUCUGAUCAGGGUUGACAGUUUAACCCUGAGUCGUCCUAAACACAGGGAUCAAAAGGAUGAAUUAUACAGUAACCAUAUUCAUGUAGGUUCUGAGUGUUGCGAUUGUGACUCUUCGACCUAUCCAAACAUCGGGUACCAUUGCUAGAUGGUCACUUCGAUUAGUAUAGGAAUUGGUUCCUGUGCUACCAGCUUAGGUUCGAACCUGCGGGGUCACACACAUUAGAGGUUCCUAUCUGAUCUGAUGGUUGAUGUAGAAUCCUACAUGUUUG
rnacentral:lncRNA from 1 species